CCCUCUAAGAAGAAUAUUUCUAUCCCAGCCCUUCACAACGCGUGAAAUAUGCGCGAAUACACCUUCACAAUCAAAUUCACGCGAAACGGCACAUAAAAUAUCGCACUUUUUGCGAAAUUACCGUUUUGCCAACACCGACCUCUCCUUGAUCAACGUGCGAUCUCAGCAGAUUCGUCCGUCAGAUUUGCGAACGGAUUACACCAGUGCGAUCAGCACCUCGGAGACAACAAAGCCACUAUUUCGUUUCACCACGAUCGACCACGGAUUCACGACAAAAUCCAAUCUUUCUUUCCAAUAGAAGGAAUAACACAUAAAUACAUAUAAAACAUGUAUUUUUGGAUUUUCUCGAAAUCCGUGCAUCAAACUCAAAAUCCGUCAGCGCCAGUAGUUCCAGAAUAGCUGAACCGGUCGAAACGAGCUAUUGGAUCACUAUGAACGGAGUUCGAUACGCGUAGAAAGCCAACUCUACUCGGUGGCUUCACCGAAAAACCGGAGUUACUAUUCACUUAAGUGAAAACUAAUAAUCGCGUAACUUCUCCGUUUUAGCUCAUUUUUUCCUGAACUUGACGAGUGCUUAUAUAGUUAAAUUACACACAUAAACAUUAUCAACAGAGAGUUUAGUAGCACUGUAAAAAUCUCAGUCCUUACACAAAUGAUAUUGAAAAAUUAUAAAAUUUAUUUUCUAAGUCCUUCAAAUACUCAAGUUCAACUCUAAUGGAGCCGAUCGUCGAUUCGAAAGUCCGAACAUCAAAAACAACUUGGAAGCACGGAGAGCUUCGUGCUUCCAGAAGCAUACCUGCCCACUCUAUAUAUAUAUAUAUAGAGAGAGAGAGAGAGAGAGAGAGAGAGAGAGAGAGAGAGAAUGAAAUAGGAUGUAAGUCUGGUCAUAGCUUAUGUAAUAUU
rnacentral:lncRNA from 1 species